rnacentral:lncRNA from 1 species
AGCCAGUUGCGUCCCUGCGGUCAUCAGUGGGGUGUUGGAACGCCUUUUGAGUUUCAUAGCCUUUUAAAAAUGUCUUCCAAAAGAUUACGUGAUGACUCUGAAUUGCAAUGAAAAGUCACUGUGUACGCAGAAGGGAAGCUGGGCGCACCUUUGGUGGUCUUUGAAGGGCACGACGGCCUCAUCCACAAGCUUGCUGCGUCCUGGGACCCGGGAAUGCGCUGGCGAGGAGACCCACAAACCCCCCAGCAGCCAGGGCCUUCCGGAGCAGAGCGCAGCGCAGGGGAGGCAGCGACCUCGGCUGGUCCAGCUGCCUGAACCGAAACAGCUCAACUUCCAGGUGCUUGGGAAUCAAGGAAGGAAAAGCUACCUCCUCCGUUUCUGCGCCACAAGGGCAGGAGCUCCAGGAACCCCGAGAACGGGAGCAAGUCUCCGCUGAGCUCGGAGCAAGUUCCCCCGCUUUCCCCCCAAAGAGGACUCUCUCCAACAAUCAGUGUUUCCUCGGUUUCUUUGAUUAAAAUCCAAAUAAGUGAGAUAUCAGUUAUGGUAUCUGUUGUCACGUCUUUUGCCGGAUACUGAAGAAUGUUAAUAAAG